UUUAGAUGUAAAUUAUUUUAACUUAAGUAGUAUUAGUUAAUGUCUUGAAACUUAAAGAAUUUGGCGGUAUUUUAGUCUAUUUAGAGGAAUCUGUCCCUUAAUCGAUAAUCCGCGAUGUACCUUACCAAAUUUAUGUAUGUAUACCGCCGUUAUUUCUGAGGAUCUUUUUAGAGUUUAAUAAUUUUCUUGAUUUAAUUUUUAAUUUAUUUCAGGUCAAGGUGCAGCUUUAUAAUUUGGUGGAGAUGGAUUACAAUAUAUUUAUAGUUUGGAUUAUUUUUUGUAAAAUUAAUAUGAAAUUGGAUUUAAUUGUAAUUUUUUGUAGAUUGUAAAAUUGAUUUUAGCUCUAUAAUAUGU
rnacentral:rRNA from 1 species